rnacentral:rRNA from 1 species
GUAGGUGGCGAGCGUUGUCCGGAAUUAUUGGGCGUAAAGCGCGCGCAGGUGGUUCUUUAAGUCUGAUGUGAAAGCCCCCGGCUCAACCGGGGAGGGUCAUUGGAAACUGGGGAACUUGAGUGCAGGAGAGGAAAGUGGAAUUCCACGUGUAGCGGUGAAAUGCGUAGAUAUGUGGAGGAACACCAGUGGCGAAGGCGACUUUCUGGCCUGUAACUGACACUGAGGCGCGAAAGCGUGGGGAGCAAACAGGGAUUAGAUACCCUGGUAGUCCACGCCGUAAACGAUGAGUGCUAAGUGUUGGGGGGGUUUCCCGCCCCGUCAGUGCUGCAGCUAACGCAUUAAGCACUCCGCCUGGGGAGUACGGUCGCAAGACUA